GCGCGGGUGGGCGGGUGCAGGGCGGUCAUCAGUUCCAGGCCGGUGACGGCGGUGGAGCCGCGCGGGGUCAUCACCCGCUGCGCGUAC
rnacentral:tRNA from 1 species